UACAGAGACUGCAAGCGUUAUUCGGAUUCACUGGGCGUAAAGGGUGCGCAGGCGGCCGUGUGUGUGAGGCGUGAAAGCCCGGGGCUUAACCCCGGAAUUGCACCUCAAACUACACGGCUAGAGCAUUGGAGAGGGUAGCAGAAUUCACGGUGUAGCAGUGAAAUGCGUAGAUAUCGUGAGGAAUACCAGAGGCGAAGGCGGCUACCUGGACAAUUGCUGACGCUCAGGCACGAAAGCGUGGGGAGCGAACAGG
rnacentral:rRNA from 1 species